CCUACGGGAGGCAGCAGUGGGGAAUAUUGGUCAAUGGACGAGAGUCUGAACCAGCCAAGUAGCGUGAAGGAUGACUGCCCUAUGGGUUGUAAACUUCUUUUAUAUGGGAAUAAAAUGUUCCACGUGUGGGAUUUUGUAUGUACCAUAUGAAUAAGGAUCGGCUAACUCCGUGCCAGCAGCCGCGGUAAUACGGAGGAUCCGAGCGUUAUCCGGAUUUAUUGGGUUUAAAGGGAGCGUAGGUGGAUUGUUAAGUCAGUUGUGAAAGUUUGCGGCUCAACCGUAAAAUUGCAGUUGAAACUGGCAGUCUUGAGUACAGUAGAGGUGAGCGGAAUUCGUGGUGUAGCGGUGAAAUGCUUAGAUAUCACGAAGAACUCCGAUUGCGAAGGCAGUUCACUGGACUGCAACUGACACUGAGGCUCGAAAGUGUGGGUAUCAAACAGGAUUAGAUACCCUUGUAGUC
rnacentral:rRNA from 1 species